UCGCACCUGCAGCACUUAUACUAAAGUUGUAAUGAUGCGCAGAGGACUAGCAUGGCCCCUGCACAAGGAUGACACACAAAUUUGUAAAAUGUUCCAUAUUCUG
ensembl:snRNA U6 U6 spliceosomal RNA